GCUGGCGUAGCUCAACAGGUAGAGCAGCUGAUUUGUAAUCAGCAGGUUGGGGGUUCGAGUCCCUUCGCCAGCU
rnacentral:tRNA from 1 species